UCGAGGUCUUCUUUAAGACCUUUAGAACAAUUUUUGGAAACCCUGUCUCAUUAAUUGGGGCAGGGUAAAU